GAGCGGCGAACGGGUGAGUAACACGUGAGCAACCUGCCCUAGACUUUGGGAUAACCCUCGGAAACGGGGGCUAAUACCGGAUAUUCCGAUUCUGUCGCAUGGCGGGGUUGGGAAAGUUUUUCGGUCUGGGAUGGGCUCGCGGCCUAUCAGCUUGUUGGUGGGGUGAUGGCCUACCAAGGCGACGACGGGUAGCCGGCCUGAGAGGGCGACCGGCCACACUGGGACUGAGACACGGCCCAGACUCCUACGGGAGGCAGCAGUGGGGAAUAUUGCACAAUGGGCGGAAGCCUGAUGCAGCGACGCCGCGUGAGGGAUGACGGCCUUCGGGUUGUAAACCUCUUUCAGCUCCGACGAAGCGUAAGUGACGGUAGGAGCAGAAGAAGCGCCGGCCAACUACGUGCCAGCAGCCGCGGUAAGACGUAGGGCGCGAGCGUUGUCCGGAAUUAUUGGGCGUAAAGAGCUCGUAGGCGGCUUGUCGCGUCGACUGUGAAAACCCGCGGCUCAACUGCGGGCCUGCAGCCGAUACGGGCAGGCUAGAGUUCGGUAGGGGAGACUGGAAUUCCU
rnacentral:rRNA from 1 species